AAAAUCGUCCAAAUUCAAUAUAUUGCAAGGACUGCGUAGGCCU
rfam:Trichuris trichiura, WGS project CBXK01000000 data, contig: TTRE_807